UGAAUACUCCCUCCGUCCUGAAUUACUUGUCGCACGUAUGGAUGUAUCUAGAUGUAUUUUUGUUCUAGAUACAUCCAUUUCAAUGACGAGUAAUUUGGGACGGAGGGAGUUUUUG
rnacentral:pre_miRNA from 1 species